AAGCUGAGCUUUGAAUAGUUUUGGGGAAACCCGACGGUUCUUUAACAACACCGUUAUUAACGCUGAAUUUGGAUAUGCAAAUCAACGAUGUCUGAGAUUUCGUCAAUAUACAACAUAUCUGUCAUCGCAUGUGAAUUGUUUUUUUAGCUUCCGGUUCUGGUGUGCUGGUUUGUUCAUGGAGGGGUGAGUCAGAUACAUCAAGAUACAUCUCUAAUGUUCACCAGAACUGAAGCCUUCAGUGAAGAGAGCAGGUCUGAACUUCAUCCUCUUGCAGACUUCAGUUCAUCCAGGAUUUACUGUGUGACCAGUCAGUGUCAAAGCAGCAUGUGCUUUUAAAAAAGAUAUUUGUGUUGAUUUAUGUGCCAAAUAACCUGCUGGAUUAUAUAUGAACUAUACUAAUAUAUUGCAUACCUUCAUGUAAUAUUACAUACUUUAUAUCGGCACAGUAGUUAUAUAAAAAUUAUAAUUAAUGCUGCAUAUAACGUCAUUUAUAAUAAUUAUUAGUGGUAGUAGUAUUAUACAAAGUUAUAAUAUGCGAUUACAUAUUUGAUUUGCAUUCCAAUUACAUUUUGCAAACUAUAUAUUCUAUGAUGUGAUUUCAUAUUUUAUGAUUUAAAUUUAAAAAAGAUUUGCAUUCCAUUACAAUUUUGCAAUCCCUGUAUUUUAUCAUUUGAGACAUCAAAGUAAGGACUAAACAUGGUUUAACCCUUCUGAGUUAAUGAGGGUUAAACACUUACUUUGCUCAAUUAGUCUCACUCUUUUCUCUCUCUUUCUUGGUUUUGCUCCUCACACUCUGGAUCUGAGCUGGGAGUUCAGGGGACAGAAGGGACGUCCCGCUGUCUGGGUCAGGGCAGUGUAACGGGUCACAGACAGAGGUCUGAUGGCACCUUCAGUCAGAGCAGCUGUCUGGAGCUGGACUCGGUCGCAGUGGAGAUGUCAGCUGUGUAGACAAACAUGACGAGCUGCCGCUGCACUCAAUGUGAUCUCUGUGUUACACUGUCAAUGACUGACACAUGAUUAUAGUUGUUUUCUGCAGAAGCCAAAAGAGCAAAAUAUAUAUUAAAACAUUUUUUUAUAUAUAUUUCACUAAAAACAGUAAUAUGUUUUUGUAAAGAGCAAGUUAAUGAUCAUGGAAGAUUAAGUGGUUCACCAACAGGUGGCGACAAAUGACUUUGUCUUUUGUAAGGGAAUCAGCCAAAAAAAAAAAUCCUCCAGAUUUCAGUGCAUAUUCAGUUUGCAUUUCCAAAGGAAUAUGUUUGUCAGACAGAAUGUUCCUCUAUUCUUGAUGUGAUGUUGAUAUCAGGUGUCAGUGCUCCUUCUAUUGAGGACUCGAUGGUUGCUGUUGCAUUUGUUCUUUAUUAAAUGUUACAUUUUCUUUCCUGGACAUUCAGCUCCUCUGGUGAGUCAGUUCUGUCUCAUCACUACAAUACUGUACUUUUCUUUCCCCUAAGUAGGAUAUAGAGCUGUGUUUAUAAUAAAAUAUGCCUGGCAUAUGCAUAUAAA